rnacentral:misc_RNA from 1 species
AAGUCGUAACAAGGUUUCCGUAGGUGAACCUGCGGAAGGAUCAUUAAUGAAAUGUUUGUCGAGAAGGGUUGUAGCUGGCCUCCAGGGGCAUGUGCACACCCUGAUCACAUCCACCUCCCACACCUGUGCACCGCCUGUAGCUUGGGAUGAUCACGGAGCCCUGAUGGGCAACGAAGGCCCUCGUCUAUGAAUAUUUUUACAAACGCUCAAAGUAUGACAGAAUGUAUAUCAUAUUGCGUCUGAUAAACGUGACAAAUACAACUUUCAACAACGGAUCUCUUGGCUCUC